CCCUUAGACGUUCUGGGCCGCACGCGCGCUACACUGACCAGUGCAACAAGCAUCCGUCCUUGGCCGACAGGCUCGGGCAAUCUUUGAACGCUGGUCGUGAUGGGGAUAGACUUUUGCAAUUUUUGGUCUUCAACGAGGAAUUCCUAGUAAGCGCAAGUCAUCAACUUGCAUUGAUUACGUCCCUGCCCUUUGUACACACCGCCCGUCGCACCUACCGAUUGAAUGGUCCGGUGAAGCCUCCGGAUUGGCGCGCACCUCGGUGCCGCCGAGAAGUUGGCUAAACCUUACCAUUUAGAGGAAGGUGAAGUCGUAACA
rnacentral:rRNA from 1 species